GACGAACGCUGGCGGCGUGCUUAACACAUGCAAGUCGAACGAUGAACCCGGAGCUUGCUCCGGUGGAUUAGUGGCGAACGGGUGAGUAACACGUGAGUAACCUGCCCUUGACUCUGGGAUAACUGCGGGAAACUGUAGCUAAUACCGGAUACGACCCUCGGCGGCAUCGCCAGGGGGUGGAAAGAAUUUCGGUCAAGGAUGGACUCGCGGCCUAUCAGCUAGUUGGUGAGGUAACGGCUCACCAAGGCGAAGACGGGUAGGGGGUGUGAGAGCAUGUCCCCCCAGAAGAGGACUGAGACACGGCCUAUACACCUACGGGUGGAAGCAACGGGGAAUCGUGCGCAAUGGGCGAAAGCCUGACGCCGCGACGCCGCGUGUGGGAUGAAGGUCUUUGGAUUGUAAACCACUUUUGACUCGGUGGACACAUCGAGUAGAAUAAGCACCCGCUAACUACGUGCCAGCAGCCGCGGUA
rnacentral:rRNA from 1 species